UACGUAGGGGCCGAGCGUUGUCCGGAGUUACUGGGCGUAAAGAGCUCGUAGGCGGUUUGUCGCGUCGGCCGUGAAAACUUGGGGCUUAACUCCAAGCUUGCGGUCGAUACGGGCAGACUUGAGUUCGGCAGGGGAGACUGGAAUUCCUGGUGUAGCGGUGAAAUGCGCAGAUAUCAGGAGGAACACCGGUGGCGAAGGCGGGUCUCUGGGCCGAUACUGACGCUGAGGAGCGAAAGCGUGGGGAGCGAACAGG
rnacentral:rRNA from 1 species